rnacentral:miRNA from 1 species
CCUCACCCAGCUCUCUGGCCCUCU